UCAUUGAUAGAGUAUUAUCGGCAGUAAUGAGUUCCUCUUCACCAAUAGGAUUCGAUAAGCAGUCUGUUUAGCGAUAGUGGAGUGGUGAAUGAAAGAAAGCUUGGAAAGAGAAAUGCAGCAGGGACUAGUCACACUCUACAAGCGCUGCAUGGCAUAAAGACUUGGUCUUUUUGUGCACGCUACCCAGAAUUCCUUGUGACAUUUGUUGUGUGAAGAUUACUCACUGGCCCGUAG
ensembl:lncRNA